UACGUAGGGUGCGAGCGUUGUCCGGAAUUAUUGGGCGUAAAGGGCUCGUAGGCGGUUUGUCGCGUCGGGAGUGAAAACCUCGGGCUUAACUCGGGGCUUGCUUUCGAUACGGGCAGACUAGAGGUAUGCAGGGGAGAACGGAAUUCCUGGUGUAGCGGUGAAAUGCGCAGAUAUCAGGAGGAACACCGGUGGCGAAGGCGGUUCUCUGGGCAUGAUUCGACGCUGAGGAGCGAAAGUGUGGGGAGCGAACAGG
rnacentral:rRNA from 1 species